UUGCUAUGUCCUGGAGUUGGAGUUUCAUGCACCACAGUUGUCUCUAUAGUUGACAGAUGAGGAGCAGGUAGUUUAACACAAUGUUCUCUCUUUUGGUACUUUGCUUGAUCUCCAGCUUGACUUCCACUAUGCUCCCUGCAAUUUAGUUGCAUCCUGUCUGUAUCCUUAUAUUGCUUUUCGAAAACGCUUUGAAAUUUCAAAGAAGGUUUGGAGUUUGUUAUAACCAUUUUUUCCUUGUCUGCACUUUUAUGUAUGUUACCAUGAUAUAGAGGUUUCCCUGAUGUGACGAAAUUUGGACCACAAAAAUCAUUUUCCCUUCCUAAUUUAUUGGCAGAAGGGUUACUAUUAUAGUAUGAUAAACUGUGUUGCUGAAUGGGAUUAAGCUGAGAUGUAGCAUGCAAA
rnacentral:misc_RNA from 1 species